rnacentral:rRNA from 1 species
UACAGAAGGUGCAAGCGUUAAUCGGAUUUAUUGGGCGUAAAGGGUGCGUAGGUGGUAAAGCAAGUAAGAUGUGAAAGCCCCGGGCUUAACCUGGGAAGUGCAUCUUAAACUGCUUAACUAGAGUAUGGUAGAGGGUAGUGGAAUUUCCGGUGUAGCGGUGAAAUGCGUAGAUAUCGGAAGGAACGCCAGUGGUGAAGACGACUACCUGGACCAAUACUGACACUGAGGCACGAAAGCGUGGGGAUCAAAC